rnacentral:rRNA from 1 species
AUUGAACGCUGGCGGCAGGCCUAACACAUGCAAGUCGAACGAGUGGCGGACGGGUGAGUAAUGUCUGGGAAACUGCCCGAUGGAGGGGGAUAACUACUGGAAACGGUAGCUAAUACCGCAUACAAUCGGAUGUGCCCAGAUGGGAUUAGCUAGUAGGUGGGGUAACGGCUCACCUAUGCGACGAUCCCUAGCUGGUAUGAGAGGAUGACCAGCCACACUGGAACGGAGAGACGGUCCAGACUACUACGGGAGGCAGCAGUGGGGAAUAUUGCACAAUUGGGGCAAGCCUGAUACAGACAUGCCGCGUGUAUGAAGAAGGCCUUCGGGUUGGAAAGUACGUUCAGCGGGGAGGCGUUACCCGCAGAAGUAGCACCGGCUAACGCCGUGCCAGCAUCCUCGGUAAUAC